rnacentral:tRNA from 1 species
AAGUAAGAAGCGGAGGCUGCAAUUAGUUUCGACCUAAUAAUUGGUAUAUUACUUACCCUUACUUA